UGGGGAAUUUUGGACAAUGGGCGAAAGCCUGAUCCAGCAAUGCCGCGUGUGUGAAGAAGGCCUUCGGGUUGUAAAGCACUUUUGUCCGGAAAGAAAUCCUUGGCUCUAAUACAGUCGGGGGAUGACGGUACCGGAAGAAUAAGCACCGGCUAACUACGUGCCAGCAGCCGCGGUAAUACGUAGGGUGCAAGCGUUAAUCGGAAUUACUGGGCGUAAAGCGUGCGCAGGCGGUUUGCUAAGACCGAUGUGAAAUCCCCGGGCUCAACCUGGGAACUGCAUUGGUGACUGGCAGGCUAGAGUAUGGCAGAGGGGGGUAGAAUUCCACGUGUAGCAGUGAAAUGCGUAGAGAUGUGGAGGAAUACCGAUGGCGAAGGCAGCCCCCUGGGCCAAUACUGACGCUCAUGCACGAAAGCGUGGGGAGCAAACAGGAUUAGAUACCCUGGUAGUCCACGUCCUAAACGAUGUCAACUAGUUGUUGGGGGAUUCAUUUUCCUUAGUAACGUAGCUAACGCGUGAAGUUGACCGCCUGGGGAGUACGGUCGCAAGAUUAAAACUCAAAGGAAUUGACGGGGUCAUAGCUGUUUCCU
rnacentral:rRNA from 1 species